AGAGUUUGAUCCUGGCUCAGAUUGAACGCUGGCGGCAUGCCUAACACAUGCAAGUCGAACGGGAGUAAAGGGGCAACUCUUUACUUUAGUGGCGGACGGGUGAGGAAUGCGUAGGAAUCUGCCUUAAAGUGGGGGAUAACUCGGGGAAACUCGAGCUAAUACCGCAUACACUCUACGGAGUAAAGGGGCCCCGUACUUGA
rnacentral:rRNA from 1 species